rnacentral:rRNA from 1 species
AUGGUGAAACCAAAGCGGGGAGGUGGAAUUGGUUUCCGUGAUAUGCUGUCCUUUAACCAGGCUUUGCUUGCGAGGCAAGGAUGGAGAUUACUCCAGUAUCCGAACAGCCUGUGUGCUAGGGUUCUAAAGUCCAAAUAUUACCCGAAUGGGGAGUUACUAGAUACAGUCUUUGCGACUGACGCAUCGCCGGUAUGGAGAGGCAUUGAAUUUGGGCUG